rnacentral:rRNA from 1 species
AUGAACGCUGGCGGCGUGCCUAAUACAUGCAAGUCGAGCGAACAGACGAGGAUCUUGCUCCUCUGAUGUUAGCGGCGGACGGGUGAGUAACACGUGGAUAACCUACCUAUAAGACUGGGAUAACUUCGGGAAACCGGAGCUAAUACCGGAUAACAUGUUGAACCGCAUGGUUCAACAGUGAAAGACGGUCUUGCUGUCACUUAUAGAUGGAUCCGCGCCGCAUUAGCUAGUUGGUAAGGUAACGGCUUACCAAGGCAACGAUGCGUAGCCGACCUGAGAGGGUGAUCGGCCACACUGGAACUGAGACACGGUCCAGACUCCUACGGGAGGCAGCAGUAGGGAAUCUUCCGCAAAGGGCGAAAGCCUGACGGAGCAACGCCGCGUGAGUGAAGAAGGUCUUCGGAUCGUAAAACUCUGUUAUUAGGGAAGAACAAAUGUGUAAGUAACUAUGCACGUCUUGACGGUACCUAAUCAGAAAGCCACGGCUAACUACGUG